rnacentral:rRNA from 1 species
GACGGAGGAUGCAAGCGUUAUCCGGAAUGAUUGGGCGUAAAGCGUCCGCAGGUGGCAGUUCAAGUCUGCUGUCAAAGACCGGGGCUUAACUUCGGAAAGGCAGUGGAAACUGAACAGCUAGAGUAUGGUAGGGGCAGAGGGAAUUCCUGGUGUAGCGGUGAAAUGCGUAGAGAUCAGGAAGAACAUCGGUGGCGAAGGCGGCAUCCUGGACCACUACUGACGCUGAGGAGCGAAAGCCAGGGGAGCAAACGGG